rnacentral:rRNA from 1 species
AACGAACGCUGGCGGCAUGCCUAACACAUGCAAGUCGAACGAGACCUUCGGGUCUAGUGGCGUACGGGUGCGUCACACGUGGGAAGCUGCCCUAAGCCGUGGAAUAACAGCUAGAAAUUAAUGCUAAAACCGGAGGAUGUCGAAAGACUAAAGAUUUAUAGGGAAAGGAUGAGCCCGCGUAGGAUUAGGUAGUUGGUGGGGUAGAGGCCUGCAAAGCUGACGAUCCUUAGCUGGUCUGAGAGGAUGGUCAGCCACACUGGGACUGAGACACGGCCCAGACUGCUACAUGAGGCAGCGGUGGGGAAUAUUAGACAGUCGGCUAGCGCCUAGUCCGGCGACGCCGCGUGAGUUAUGAAGGCCUUAUGGUUGUAUAGCUCUUUUAACAGGGAUGAUAAUGACGGUACCUGAAGAAUAAGCACCGGCUAACUCCGUG